rnacentral:ncRNA from 2 species
UUCUUAUCAAGAGUGAUGGAGGGACUGGCCCAAUGAAAUCCAGCAGCAUCCUUAAUUUUAGGAAUGUGCUAAAUCCUGCAGUAUUAUCCUGAAAGAUGAGAU